ACUCCUACGGGAGGCAGCAGUGGGGGAAUAUUGGACAAUGGGGGCGAACCCUCGAUCCAGCCAUGCCGCGUGUGUGAAGAAGGCCUUUGGUUGUAAAGCACUUUAAGCAGGGAGGAGAGGCUAAUGGUUAAUACCCAUUAGAUUAGACGUUACCUGCAGAAUAAGCACCGGCUAACUCUGUGCCAGCAGCCGCGGGUAAUACAGAGGGGUGCGAGCGUUAAUCGGAAUUACUGGGCGUAAAGCGAGUGUAGGUGGCUCAUUAAGUCACAUGUGAAAUCCCCGGGGCUUAACCUGGGAACUGCAUGUGAUACUGGUGGUGCUAGAAUAUGUGAGAGGGAAGUAGAAUUCCAGGUGUAGCGGUGAAAUGCGUAGAGAUCUGGAGGAAUACCGAUGGCGAAGGCAGCUUCCUGGCAUAAUAUUGACACUGAGAUUCGAAAGCGUGGGUAGCAAACAGGAUUAGAUACCCUGGUAGGAUAGCG
rnacentral:rRNA from 1 species